rnacentral:rRNA from 1 species
UACGGGGGGAGCAAGCGUUGUUCGGAUUUACUGGGCGUAAAGGGCGCGUAGGCGGCGUGACAAGUCACUUGUGAAAUCUCCGGGCUUAACCCGGAGCGGCCAAGUGAUACUGUCGGGCUAGAGUGCGGAAGGGGCUACUGGAAUUCUCGGUGUAGCGGUGAAAUGCGUAGAUAUCGAGAGGAACACCUGCGGCGAAGGCGGGUAGCUGGGCCGACACUGACGCUGAUGCGCGAAAGCCAGGGGAGCGAACGGG